GGGUUCGAUUCCGGAGAGGGAGCCUGAGAAACGGCUACCACUUCCAAGGAAGGCAGCAGGCGCGCAAAUUACCCAAUCCCGACACGGGGAGGUAGUGACAAUAAAUAACAAUACGGGGCUCUUUCGGGUCUCGUAAUUGGAAUGAGUACAAUUUAAAUCCCUUAACGAGGAACAAUUGGAGGGCAAGUCUGGUGCCAGCAGCCGCGGUAAUUCCAGCUCCAAUAGCGUAUAUUAAAGUUGUUGCAGUUAAAAAGCUCGUAGUUGAAUUUCGGGAUUGACGUGACGGUCAUGCCUUAAGGGGUAUGAACUGUUACUGUUGAUUUCUCACCUUCUGGAGAAACUUGAUGUCCUUUAUUGGGUGUCUUGCGGAUCCAGGACCUUUACCUUGAAAAAAUUAGAGUGUUUAAAGCAGGCAUUUUUGCUCGAAUACAUUAGCAUGGAAUAAUAGAAUAGGACGGCAUGGUUCUAUUUUGUUGGUUUCUAGGAUCACCGUAAUGAUUAAUAGGGAUAGUUGGGGGCAUUAGUAUUCAAUUGUCAGAGGUGAAAUUCUUGGAUUUAUUGAAGACUAACUACUGCGAAAGCAUUUGCCAAGGAUGUUUUCAUUAAUCAAGAACGAAAGUUAGGGGAUCGAAGACGAUCAGAUACCGUCGUAGUCUUAACCAUAAACUAUGCCGACUAGGAAUCAGACGAU
rnacentral:rRNA from 1 species